ACUCCUACGGGAGGCAGCAGUGGGGAAUUUUGCGCAAUGGGCGAAAGCCUGACGCAGUAACGCCGCGUGGAGGAUGAAGGCCUUCGGGUUGUAAACUCCUGUCAGGGGGAACGACGGAGGUUGGGCUUAUAAGGCCUUUCCUUCAGACGGUACCUCCAAAGGAAGCCCCGGCUAAUUCCGUGCCAGCAGCCGCGGUAAUACGGAAGGGGCAAGCGUUGUUCGGAAUCAUUGGGCGUAAAGGGCGCGUAGGUGGUUCUGUAUGUCUACUGUGAAAGCGUACAGCUCAACUGUAUUUUGUCGGUAGAAACUGCAGGACUUGAGGCUGGGAGGGGCCGGUGGAAUUCCCCGUGUAGCGGUGAAAUGCGUAGAGAUGGGGGAGAACACUCGUGGCGAAGGCGGCCAGCCGGACCAGUUCUGACACUGAGGCGCGACAGCGUGGGGAGCAAACAGGAUUAGAUACCCUGGUAGUCCACGCUGUAAACGAUGGGCACUAGGUGCCGGCGGUCUUGAUCCCGUCGGUGCCGGCGCUAACGCAGUAAGUGCCCCGCCUGGGGAGUACGGCCGCAAGGCUGAAACUCAAAGGAAUUGACGGGGGCCCGCACAAGCGGUGGAGCAUGUGGUUUAAUUCGACGCAACGCGAAGAACCUUACCUGGGUUUGACAUGUGCAGGACUGGUGAUGAAAGUUACCUUCCCUUCGGGGCCUGUGCACAGGUGCUGCAUGGCUGUCGUCAGCUCGUG
rnacentral:rRNA from 1 species